AAGUCGUAACAAGGUUUCCGUAGGUGAACCUGUGGAAGGAUCAUUAACACGUAUCCAACGUUAAACCCCCCGUGCACACAGAGACCUGCUCCCCUCAAUUUCGGUCUUUUGGCAAUCCCUGGUAAAUCAUCGCCGAACAGUUUUGAUUCAGGGACAUCCAAAGGGCCGGGGUAGGGUAUUAAAGUAGUAGUCCCAUGCAAGCGACCUGGUUUCUUUGAAGCAGAAAGUGAUGGCGUGAGCCGGAGAAGGACCGAGUGACUGUCCAACACGGCCAGUGACCGGGUUCCUGGGUCCUAGACCCCCAUAUUCACCACAGUCGCAGACGAGGUAGGGAUACGUCCCUACCACCAAAUAAAUACUUGAACAACUGUUAACAAUGGAUAUCUUGGUUCUC
rnacentral:misc_RNA from 1 species